UGGGGAAUAUUGCACAAUGGGCGAAAGCCUGAUGCAGCGACGCCGCGUGAGGGAUGACGGCCUUCGGGUUGUAAACCUCUUUCAGCAGGGACGAAGCGCAAGUGACGGUACCUGCAGAAGAAGCACCGGCUAACUACGUGCCAGCAGCCGCGGUAAUACGUAGGGUGCAAGCGUUGUCCGGAAUUACUGGGCGUAAAGAGUUCGUAGGCGGUUUGUCGCGUCGUUUGUGAAAACCAGCAGCUCAACUGCUGGCUUGCAGGCGAUACGGGCAGACUAGAGUACUGCAGGGGAGACUGGAAUUCCUGGUGUAGCGGUGAAAUGCGCAGAUAUCAGGAGGAACACCGGUGGCGAAGGCGGGUCUCUGGGCAGUAACUGACGCUGAGGAACGAAAGCGUGGGUAGCGAACAGG
rnacentral:rRNA from 1 species